rnacentral:rRNA from 1 species
UACGAAGGGGGCUAGCGUUGCUCGGAAUCACUGGGCGUAAAGGGUGCGUAGGUGGGCAGGUAAGUCAGUGGUGAAAUCUCCGGGCUUAACCCGGAAACUGCCAUUGAUACUAUCAGUCUUGAAUACCGUGGAGGUAAGCGGAAUAUGUCAUGUAGCGGUGAAAUGCUUAGAUAUGACAUAGAACACCAAUUGCGAAGGCAGCUUACUACCCGAAUAUUGACACUGAGGCACGAAAGCGUGGGGAUCAAACAGG